CAUUCCGCUAGCGGACGGGNUGAGAUAAUGCCUAGGAAUCUGCCUGGUAGGUGGGGGACAACGCUUUCGAAAGGAACGCUAAUACCGCAUACGUCCUACGGGAGAAAGCAGGGGACCUUCGGGCCUUGCGCUAUCAGAUGAGCCUAGGUCGGAUUAGCUAGUUGGUGAGGUAAUGGCUCACCAAGGCGACGAUCCGUAACUGGUCUGAGAGGAUGAUCAGUCACACUGGAACUGAGACACGGUCCAGACUCCUACGGGAGGCAGCAGUGGGGAAUAUUGGACAAUGGGCGAAAGCCUGAUCCAGCCAUGCCGCGUGUGUGAAGAAGGUCUUCGGAUUGUAAAGCACUUUAAGUUGGGAGGAAGGGCAGUAAAUUAAUACUUUGCUGUUUUGACGUUACCGACAGAAUAAGCACCGGCUAACUCUGUGCCAGCAGCCGCGGUAAUACAGAGGGUGCAAGCGUUAAUCGGAAUUACUGGGCGUAAAGCGCGCGUAGGUGGUUCGUUAAGUUGGAUGUGAAAUCCCCGGGCUCAACCUGGGAACUGCAUCCAAAACUGGCGAGCUAGAGUAUGGUAGAGGGUGGUGGAAUUUCCUGUGUAGCGGUGAAAUGCGUAGAUAUAGGAAGGAACACCAGUGGCGAAGGCGACCACCUGGACUGAUACUGACACUGAGGUGCGAAAGCGUGGGGAGCAAACAGGAUUANAUACCCUGGUAGUCCACGCCGUAAACGAUGUCAACUAGCCGUUGGGAGCCUUGAGCUCUAAUGGCGCAGCUAACGCAUAANUUGACCCCUGGGGAGUACGGCCGCAGGUUAAACUCNAUGAUUGACGGGGGCCCC
rnacentral:rRNA from 1 species